ACAUGCGAUCAUACCAGCACUAAUGCACCGGAUCCCAACAGAACUCCGCAGUUAAGUGUGCUUGGGCGAGAGUAGUACAGAUGCGAUCAUCCCUCUUUUUUUCCGGUU
rfam:Arabidopsis thaliana chromosome 3, complete sequence.